rnacentral:rRNA from 1 species
CAGUAGCCGCGGGAAAACGUAGGGUGCGAGCGUUAAUCGGAAUUACUGGGCGUAAAGCGUGCGCAGGCGGUUUUGUAAGACAGGCGUGAAAUCCCCGGGCUCAACCUGGGAAUGGCGCUUGUGACUGCAAAGCUAGAGUGCGGCAGAGGGGGAUGGAAUUCCGCGUGUAGCAGUGAAAUGCGUAGAUAUGCGGAGGAACACCGAUGGCGAAGGCAAUCCCCUGGGCCUGCACUGACGCUCAUGCACGAAAGCGUGGGGAGCAAACAGGAUUAGAUACCCGAGUAGCUGUCUCUUAUACACA